AAGGAGUCUAACAUAUAUGCGAGUGCAGAGGUGGCAAACCUCCACGCGUAAUGAAAGUAAAGGCACGUUCGGCGUGCUGAGGUGGGAAUUCUCAAUUCAUUUUGAGUUUGCACCAUCAACCGAUCUGGAUAUUCUUUGAAAGAUUUGAGUUAGAGCAUAUCUGUUGGGACCCGAAAGAUGGUGAACUAUGCCUGAGUAGGGUGAAGCCAGAGGAAACUCUGGUGGAGGCUCGUAGCGAUACUGACGUGCAAAUCGUUCGUCAAACUUGGGUAUAGGGGCGAAAGACUAAUCGAACCAUCUAGUAGCUGGUUCCCUC
rnacentral:sRNA from 1 species